rnacentral:rRNA from 1 species
GUGGGGAAUAUUGCACAAUGGGCGGAAGCCUGAUGCAGCGACGCCGCGUGAGGGAUGACGGCCUUCGGGUUGUAAACCUCUUUCGCCAGGGACGAAGCUUUAGGGUGACGGUACCUGGAUAAGAAGCACCGGCCAACUACGUGCCAGCAGCCGCGGUAAUACGUAGGGUGCGAGCGUUGUCCGGAAUUACUGGGCGUAAAGAGCUCGUAGGCGGUUUGUCGCGUCGUCUGUGGAAUUCUGCAGCUUAACUGCAGGCGUGCAGGCGAUACGGGCAGACUUGAGUACUACAGGGGAGACUGGAAUUCCUGGUGUAGCGGUGAAAUGCGCAGAUAUCAGGAGGAACACCGGUGGCGAAGGCGGGUCUCUGGGUAGUAACUGACGCUGAGGAGCGAAAGCGUGGGGAGCGAACAGGAUUAGAAACCCUAGUAGUCC